GCGCCAUCCAAUCGCUUCCAUCUCCUCUGAUUUUCUUACCGUUUCCAAACUAGAAAAGCAAAUGGCUGCUGGUAGGGUGGCUCAUGUCACGCUUAAAGGACCAAGUGUCGUCAAGGAGAUAUUGACAGGUAUGGGACUUGCUUUGUUUGCUGGUAGCUUUUGGAAAAUGCAUCAAUGGAAUGAGCAGAGGAGAGUGAGAACUUUCUACGAUCUACUGGAGAAGGGUGAGAUCAGUGUCGUUGUUGGUGAAGAAUAGAUCUUACGCUCUAUCAUGAUAUUAUGGAACAUAUUCACCAGCUUGUUUAUCAUUUUUUUUUUCUUUUUGAAAACCUCUUUGUAUUGCUCUUGGAUUAGAGAUGACUUUUAUCUUUUGCAACAAUUUCUGCAAAUAAGAACAUGAGAGACAGAUUUUGG
rnacentral:misc_RNA from 1 species